CCGAAAACCUUACCUGGGUUAAUCCCAGUUGUAAGCCUCAGAGAUGAGGCCCUCCCGCAAGGGACGGCUGGGAAGGUGCUGCAUGGCUGUCGUCAGCUCGUGUCGUGAGAUGUUGGGUUAAGUCCCGCAACGAGCGCAACCCUUACCACUAGUUGCCAGCAUUUAGUUGGGCACUCUAGCGGAACUGCCGGUGAUAAACCGGAGGAAGGUGGGGAUGACGUCAAGUCAUCAUGGCCUCUAUGUCCGGGGCUACACACGUGCUACAAUGGCCGGUACAAACCGCUGCGAACUCGCGAGAGGGAGCCAAUCGGAAAAAGCCGGUCUCAGUUCGGAUUGGAGUCUGCAACUCGACUCCAUGAAGUUGGAAUCGCUAGUAAUCGCGGAUCAGCACGCCGCGGUGAAUACGUUCCCGGGUCUUGUACACACCG
rnacentral:rRNA from 1 species